GGCCUCGUAGCUCAACUGGUAGAGCGUGCGCUUUAUGCAAGCGUAGGCGGCGUCCAUGCGUGAGUUCGAAUCCCAUCAAGGCUA
rnacentral:tRNA from 1 species